AUCUGGCUGGCCCAGUGGGUAGAGCAUGUGACUCUUGAUCUCAGGGUUGUGAGUUCAAGCCCCAUGUUAGACA
rnacentral:tRNA from 1 species